rnacentral:tRNA from 1 species
GCCUGGGUGGCUCAGUUGGUUGAGCGUCCGACUUCGGCUCAGGUCACGAUCUCGCGGUCCGUGAGUUCGAGCCCCACGUCGGGCU